rnacentral:rRNA from 1 species
CGAGCGCUGUAGCAAUACAGAGCGGCGCACGGGUGAGUAACACGUGGGAACGUGCCCUUUGGUUCGGAAUAACUCAGGGAAACUUGAGCUAAUACCGGAUGAGCCCUAACGGGGAAAGAUUUAUCGCCGAAGGAGCGGCCCGCGUUGGAUUAGCUAGUUGGUGGGGUAAAAGCCUACCAAGGCAACGAUCCAUAGCUGGUUUGAGAGAACGACCAGCCACACUGGGACCGAGACACGGCCCAGACUCCUACGGGAGGCAGCAGUGGGGAAUCUUGGACAAUGGGGGAAACCCUGAUCCAGCCAUGCCGCGUGAGUGAUGAAGGCCCUAGGGUUGUAAAACUCUUUCGGCGGGGACGAUAAUGACGGUACCCGCAGAAGAAGCUCCGGCUAACUUCGUGCCAGCAGCCGCGGUAAUACGAAGGGGGCUAGCGUUGUUCGGAAUUACUGGGCGUAAAGCGCGCGCAGGCGGUCCUUCAAGUCAGAGGUGAAAGCCCAGAGCUCAACUCUGGAACGGCCUUUGAGACUAGAGGACUAGGGUACGGGAGAGGUGAGUGGAAUUCCGAGUGUAGAGGUGAAAUUCGUAGAUAUUCGGAAGAACACCAGUGGCGAAGGCGGCUCACUGGCCCGUUACCGACGCUCAGGCGCGACAGCGUGGGGAGCAAACAGGAUUAGAUACCCUGGUAGUCCACGCCCUAAACGAUGUCUACUAGUUGUCGGGUCUUAAUUG